UUUUUAGGAGGGCAUGGGGCAUAUCGAGUUAAAGUCCGUUCACGUUCGACAAGGAAAACAAGAAGCCCAUCCUCGUGAAAGCUCCAAAGUCCAAACCCACGACGGAACAACGAUUCGGAUUCGGUGACGAUUCCGACGUCUUUCAUGACGGGGUCGAUCGUGGGGAAGAGAUUCUACAAGAAGGUGAUGACGAGAGAAGCGGACGAUGGGAGUGGAUGGACUGUGAUGCUCGAUUACAAAACACUUAAAACGCCUUCGAAGAGACCUCUCAAGCUUCCUUCUUUGAUAGGUCUGGGCAAUUACAGAUGCUAAGAGACAAGGGUAUCUUGGUUUCAAAGAGUUUAUCGUUGCUAUGCGGUUGAGAGAUUCAUGUUUGCAUUACAGUGAUGAAGAAUUACACAAUCAGAGAUGAUACUCUUUCUACUUUCUCUCUAGCCAGGAGGUACAAGAGCAUGGGUUUGGCAGUCUGGUUUUCUUAGGUUGUUCUUGGUAUAACAUUAGUCCCCUGCACUCUGCUUUCUAGGGAGGUACUUCAGUGUGGUGCAUCGGUUUCCAGACUUCUCAAGCACUUUACGCUCAUGCAUCUUCCUGUGUUCACUCAAAUCAGGAUUUCUGAUGUAAGCUAUGAAGAGCGGGAUGAUCCUGAUGGUCGAUUGGAACGCAGAGGCUUAUCAGGUGACUCAUAGUGAGAUUCACUUUACAAUCUGUUUGCAGGUUUCUUCCUGUUCCAUUCGUUGAUACCAUCUGAUCAAACUUCUUAUCAUGACUCUUUGUUCAUUCACACCUUUGAUCAAACUUCAUGUCAUGUAUGUUUUUCUUUCAUUUUAUAAAUAAAAUCAUUCAAC